rnacentral:rRNA from 1 species
GUAGGUGGCAAGCGUUGUCCGGAAUUAUUGGGCGUAAAGCGCGCGCAGGCGGUUCUUUAAGUCUGAUGUGAAAGCCCACGGCUCAACCGUGGAGGGUCAUUGGAAACUGGGGAACUUGAGUACAGAAGAGGAAAGCGGAAUUCCACGUGUAGCGGUGAAAUGCGUAGAGAUGUGGAGGAACACCAGUGGCGAAGGCGGCUUUCUGGUCUGUAACUGACGCUGAGGCGCGAAAGCGUGGGGAGCAAACAGGGAUUAGAUACCCUGGUAGUCCACGCCGUAAACGAUGAGUGCUAAGUGUUAGGGGGUUUCCCGCCCCUUAGUGCUGCAGCUAACGCAUUAAGCACUCCGCCUGGGGAGUGCGGCCGCAAGGCUG